GAAUAAAGGCCGAAGGCAAAC
ensembl:piRNA 21ur-3559 ncRNA